CACCUCCCUCUUUUCUAACAUUUAAACUCAUAUAAAAAUAAAACAUUCUCAUCACCAAAAAUCAGGACAUUUCCUGGAACUGAGACGAUCUCUGCUGCAUCACCCAGGUACAGGACAGACCGGGGUCAAACUCCGAGUCCAGAGAAAGUCCUUCCAGAGUUCCAGGACUAAAUCAGAGAGUCACUAGUUGAGUUCCAGCCCCCGGUCCAGUCAGUAGGGGGCAGCAGUUUCAGCUCAGGCUGCUGAAACAUUUACAGCAUUAAGAGGAUCAGAGACCAGGACUCAGACCAGGUCCAUGUGUCUCUGUUGGACGGACCCUGGUUCCUGGUACUGUUUCAGAAAGUAUUUGUUCCCCUGACACUUCCUGGAGAACUUUCUGGAACCUGGAUCUGAGGUCCAGUCCAAGGUUCUGCUGCUGUGUUGAUGAGGUCAGGGUCUCCAGGUCAGGGUCUCCAGGUCAGGGGCUCCAGGUCAGGGUCUCCAGGUCAGGGGCUCCAGGUCAGGGUCUCCAGGUCAGGUCCCUCCGUGCUCUCAUCCUGUCCGUCCUUCCACGAUGAUCAUCAGGACCGGGGUCAGGUCCAUCAGGUUCCUCAGCAUGUCCAUGAUGUCCUUGUGGUCUUUGGCUCCCUCGAUGAACUCCUCCAGGGUCAUCUCACCUGCGCCACCCAGAGAUGAGCGAGACGAUCUCCUCUGGGUCGAUGUCUCUGUUCCGUGUGAUGUCCUGGAUGGCCUACAGGGGGAGACACAAGUGAGGACCAACAUUAGGAACUAUAUGGAUCUGAAGUGAAACAUACGUUGGAGCAGACGAGGAC